AGUGCAAUCUGGGCGAUCGCUUCCUGGUCCUCGCCUCCUCCGCUGUCUCCCUGGAGUUCUUGCAAGUCGGCCAGGAUGUCUCAGCACAGGGCAGGACGUCGCGGCGGAGUGGGGAAGCGAGGAGUCCGUGGCCGAGAGCUUGGAGGCUGAGUUUGAGAAAGCUGCAGAGGAGGUUAGGCACCUUAAGACCAAGCCAUCGGAUGAGGAGAUGCUGUUCAUCUAUGGCCACUACAAACAAGCAACUGUGGGCGACAUAAAUACAGAACGGCCCGGGAUGUUGGACUUCACGGGCAAGGCCAAGUGGGAUGCCUGGAAUGAGCUGAAAGGGACUUCCAAGGAAGAUGCCAUGAAAGCUUACAUCAACAAAGUAGAAGAGCUAAAGAAAAAAUACGGGAUAUGAGAGACUGGAUUUGGUUACUGUGCCAUGUGUUUAUCCUAAACUGAGACAAUGCCUUGUUUUUUUCUAAUACCGUGGAUGGUGGGAAUUCG
rnacentral:misc_RNA from 1 species